rnacentral:misc_RNA from 1 species
AAAGGGCCAAACUGAAGGGAGGAUGGAGUCCCAUCUCCGAAGCGCCGUUUCACUGGUAAUUUCUUGAAUUGCAGCGAUGGAUUCGAGUUGUUCCGCAGAGAAAGGUUGGGGAGAGAAGGUAUCAGAAAAGGUGAUUUCGCUAUACAACUCUCUUCCUAAGAAAGGAAAGCCUCAGGGGCGAGAAGUCACUGUCUUGGCUUCGUUUCUCAUUUCCUCUCCUUCUCAAGAUUUAGAAGUUGUUUCCUUAGGAACGGGGACAAAAUGUAUUGGGCGCUCGCACUUGAGCACGCAGGGUGACAUUGUUAAUGAUUCACACGCUGAGAUUAUUGCUCGAAGAGCUUUAAUGAGGUUCUUCUAUUCAGAGAUUCAACGUCUCUCCAGUAUUUUAAAUAAGCAUGGAAAUGAUAGUGGGAGCAGACAAUUGCAAAGUGAUGAUGUCACAAGCUGCCUUUUCCAUUUGGAACAAGAUGGUUCUAAUCAAGGAAACUUCAAACUGAGAGAGGGUUGGCAAUUACAUCUGUACAUAUCGCAGUUGCCAUGUGGAGAUGCUUCUGUGCAUUCACCCUUAUUGUCUAUGAGAAACAACUUCCAAAGAGAAGAGGAUUCACCAUUCUCUCUAGGCAAGCUUAAUGGUUCCAUAAAUGAGCUUUUAGGGGCUCCAGAAGAGAAUAAUGGUAAUGGUUCACAACUCAGUGGCAUGGUUCAACGGAAGCCUGGUCGUGGUGACACAACAAUGUCAGUUAGCUGCUCUGACAAGAUCACUCGUUGGAAUGUUCUUGGAGUUCAAGGAUCUCUGCUUUCCUACUUUCUUCAACCUGUUUAUCUUUCUACGAUCACUGUUGGACAGUCGCCUAGCGUUUUUCAACAUAUUCCAUUGGAGAACCACUUGCAAAGAUCUUUGUAUGAUCGAAUCUUACCAUUGUCAAAUAAUUUGACUGUUCCCUUUCAAAUAAACAAGCCACUUUUUUGUACAGCUCCUGUACCACCCAAAGAAUUUCAGCAUGCUGAUACUGCCAUAGUCACUUUAACAUGCGGGUAUUCCAUAUGUUGGAAUAAGUAUGGUUUGCAUGAAGUUGUUCUUGGGACCACGGGAAGAAAACAAGGGACCUCUGCUAAAGGAGCACUUUCUCCAUCUACCGAGUCAUCUCUGUGCAAGUAAGCUGACAAAAAGCGAUUAUUGGAGAUUUUCUUGACACUAAGGCGGGACUUGCAACAUAAAAGCCCAACUAAAGGGAUUUCUUAUCGAGAACUCAAGGUUAUAUUUUUCUUGCAUAGUACUGAUGGACUCUUUCAUGAUUUGAAUGAGAAGAUAAAUUAAGGAAUUUGAAUUAUCUAUUUCCUAGCCUUCACCUACCUUCUUAAUGUUAUUAUCUAAUGUGGUAAAUAAUUCAGGUUGUUACUUCAUAUAUGCAUAAGUUCUUCAUUCACAUUAGAUGACUAUGGAGAGUCUCUAUCACCUAAUUGUUUUAAAUUAUCAGGCAAUAUAAUGUGGUCAUCUAAUUGGAAAAAAAAAUUGCUGAAUUUAGUUUCGUGUGAAAAAUAUGGUACAAUAUUUUAGUUGUUCCCUUUGCAGUAUGCAAUAUAAUGAUAUGGUUGAUGGCAUCACCUUCUCUUCAGCUCACUGCUGGAAGGCUUUUGGGCCGCAUAUUUUUGGGGAUGCAUGCGUGAUGGAAAAUUUUAAUUUUCUAGCUUUUUCUUUACAAUCCAUGGGGCAAUGACUUGGUGCUAAUUGUGAGCAAAUAUGAAGUUCUUUUACUAAUAUAAUUUUGGCAAAUUUCCUUGCAGAAUGAUGUUGAGGCAUACAGUUUAACUUCAAAAACUUUUAAAGGAAAACCACCUUUUAACAAUUGGCCAUUGAAACCAUUGAACUUGGAGGCCUUCUCCAUUUUGAGGUAGCAAGGUAUGUGAUAUUCAACUUUGGAUGUUUUCUAUAAAACAUCACCAUGUGUUAACCAUUAGACUUAUAGUUAGCGGUUGAUUGCAUUGAAUUAUGAACUGAGUAUGGUCCUAGCAGAUUUUAUUAUCAUCUCUUUCACAGCCACAACACAUGUACUUAUCAAAGCCUUAAUGCGGCCACGAUUCACCGGCAAUAAAUUGUUGCACACUGAAACCAUUCAGGUUCGAAAGUGACAAGUUGGAGUCUAAAGUGUCUGUAAGGUCCAUAUGAAGUGUCAUUUUUUUUUUUAAGGGAAUACGAGCAAGCAGCCUUCUUGUUUUUCAAAUUUUAAAGGGAACACGAGCAAAAGUGUCUGUAACUUAUUUUUGCUCUCAACUUUUUGUUGAUGUUCAACUUUAUUAACAUUUAAAAUUUUCGUUCAAUUUACCUAAAUCUAAGCUUAAAUUUGCCACUCCCUGAUCCAGUGAGCUGUACGGCGUUCCAAAC